UACGUAUGGAGCAAGCGUUAUCCGGAUUUACUGGGCGUAAAGGGAGCGUAGGCGGCCUGCCAAGUCUGAUGUGAAAUACCGGGGCUCAACCCCGGGGCUGCAUUGGAAACUGGCAGGCUGGAGUGCCGGAGAGGCAGGCGGAAUUCCUAGUGUAGCGGUGAAAUGCGUAGAUAUUAGGAGGAACACCAGUGGCGAAGGCGGCCUGCUGGACGGUGACUGACGCUGAGGCUCGAAAGCGUGGGGAGCAAACAGG
rnacentral:rRNA from 1 species